rnacentral:rRNA from 1 species
AUUGAACGCUGGCGGCAUGCUUUACACAUGCAAGUCGAACGGUAACAGGCCGCAAGGUUCUGACGAGUGGCGAACGGGGGAGUAAUGCAUCGGAACGUGCCCAGUCGUGGGGGAUAACUACUCGAAAGAGUAGCUAAUACCGCAUACGAUCUAUGGAUGAAAGCGGGGGACCGUAAGGCCUCGCGCGAUUGGAGCGGCCGAUGUCAGAUUAGGUAGUUGGUGGGGUAAAGGCUCACCAAGCCAACGAUCUGUAGCUGGUCUGAGAGGACAACCAGCCACACUGGGACUGAGACACGGCCCAGACUCCUACGGGAGGCAGCAGUGGGGAAUUUUGGACAAUGGGCGCAAGCCUGAUCCAGCAAUGCCGCGUGCAGGAAGAAGGCCUUCGGGUUGUAAACUGCUUUUGUACGGAGAGAAACGGCUCUGGUUAAUACCCGGGGCUAAUGACGGUACCGUAAGAAUAAGCACCGGCUAACUACGUG